UGGCCAAGUAUGCAAAAGCUAC
rnacentral:snRNA from 1 species